rnacentral:rRNA from 1 species
UGGGGAAUAUUGGACAAUGGGCGAAAGCCUGAUCCAGCCAUGCCGCGUGUGUGAAGAAGGUCUUCGGAUUGUAAAGCACUUUAAGUUGGGAGGAAGGGCAGUAAGCGAAUACCUUGCUGUUUUGACGUUACCGACAGAAUAAGCACCGGCUAACUCUGUGCCAGCAGCCGCGGUAAUACAGAGGGUGCAAGCGUUAAUCGGAAUUACUGGGCGUAAAGCGUGCGUAGGCGGUUCGUUAAGUUGAAUGUGAAAGCCCCGGGCUCAACCUGGGAACUGCAUCCAAAACUGGCGGGCUAGAGUAGGGCAGAGGGUGGUGGAAUUUCCUGUGUAGCGGUGAAAUGCGUAGAUAUAGGAAGGAACACCAGUGGCGAAGGCGACCACCUGGGCUCAUACUGACACUGAGGUGCGAAAGCGUGGGGAGCAAACAGG